UUUAAAGAGGGUAGUAAUGAAAA
rnacentral:snRNA from 1 species